ACAAAGGGAGAAAGGGACCACAUGGGAGAAUCGGGGAGCUUUGCAUGAAGAUCCGCGUGUGCUUCCUCUUUGGGAUGUUCUCCCACGUGUUUCUGUUUCCCUUUUCUCUUUCUUUAUUACUCUCCUUUCUUCUUCUUAUCAUACAACAUCAAAAUGUCAAAGACUCUACUUCCUUGUAUAGAUUUGUCCUCAAUCUGAGCAAACCCACACAGAGCAUACCCUUGAACUAUGUGUGGCAGCUUGAUCCUGUCACAUAGAGAACAAGAACAUACACUCUAUCUGGCUGUACCAACUUAGGUCUCCUUUAACUGGG
rnacentral:sRNA from 1 species